GACAGGGAGACGUUCAGGCGGCUGCAGUAGCAGUGGCGGCGGUGGCGGCAGAGUUCACCGGAGAAGUGGAAUUGAAGGGGGAAAUUUAGAGAGAACCCUAGGUAGCUUUAAUUUGAGAAAUUGGGGAAAGAUAGAAGAUAGAAAGGAGGGGGAAGGAGAGGCGCCGGCUCGCCGCGCCAGAGGCGGCAAGAAGCGGCGACGUCCGCCGGAGAAGGAUGGGGAGAGAGAGAGACGGUAGAGGGCAGAAAAUGAGAGAGAAUGCAGAGAGAGAGAUGCGUAUGAGAGAAAAAUGAAAAAUAUAAU
rnacentral:lncRNA from 1 species